GCGCGGCACUCUACUUUCCCUUUUCCCCUGUUCACCAAUUGUUCCCACCAUUUACCAAAUAAUUCCCCCGCCUUGCGAUUAUUUCCCAACCCUAAAUCUUUUCAGCCACUUCAAAAUAAUAAAAACAAAAUAAACAUACUCACCUCCCUCUCUCAUCCCGAUUCUCUCAAAUCACAUGUAUCUAUCUCUCUCGACUCUUUCGAUUGCAAGAACCCCCAACUGUAAGAACCCUAACUUCUCUCUGCACUUUAGAGCUCUUAGUCUCUCACUCUCUCCUGAACUCUUAACUAACCUCAAUCUCUUUGAAGCUCAAUGUCAUCUCUGUGAAACUCAGCCUCUCUUCAACAAGGUUAAUCGAGGUUGAAUCUACUCUCUCUACAAAAGCUCCCAACGUUAAAGCUGCUUUAUCGGUGUAUAAAAUUAGAAAGCUUAGUUAGCCAUUCGGCCUCUCUAGUUGCUUGUUAUCAGUCGAGGGUUUACACUGUAGCAAUUACGAGUGGGUUUUGUGGAGUUUGGAUGGAGAACAGAUGGAGAAGAAGCAAUCUGGGUAUAUGACUAGAAUAGGGUUUUUAGUUUUACUGCCAAGGCAAUAAUGUUUGUACAUAUAUUCUUCCACAUAUUUCACUUGUGCUAUACACUGACACUUGUAAAUAAACUUUCCAGGCAACUGUUGAUGAAAAGUAUGAUGAAAAUUUCCUUGCUUGAUACUUGAAAACAUCUGUUUUUUGUAUUUGUCAGAGAUUACAGCGUAUAAGGAAACAUCUGUUGAUCUAUCACUUAUUGGAUUUGAUCAAGUUUAGUCACAGCCUCUUUUCGAGCAAUGGGGUUCCCGAAACCAUUAAACCUCCUAUCAAAAUAAAAGUAAAUAGUCUGGAAAGUAGAGAUGCACCACCAAUGUGGCAGUGCGGUGUAUGUAUUUUGUCAAAUCAGCUUGCAGAAUUGCAAAGCAUGAAAGCCGUGCAAAGCAAGGAAGCUUUAUUAAUCUUAACUGAAUAAGAUUCUGCGGCUUAUUGAAAUAUUUGAUAUAAAACUGCUCCAAAUGCGGGCUAGCGUAACUCCACUUAGUUAAUGUUGUUGCUGCCACCAGAGAGGAGGCGCUUGAUUUUGAUUUACCUUUGCUUGACUUCAUACAAAUUGCAAAGGCAACCGAUAAUUUCUGCGACAAUAACAAGCUUGGGGAAGGAGGUUUUGGUGCUGUUUACAAGAUUACGAGUCCAAUUAGAACAAAACAUGGCAGCUCAGGCAAAUCAUAAGCUUCAACACGGCGGUGGAGAAGAAUCUGAAGCUGAUUUUUUUGUAGGUUUACGACGUGGUUCUGUAUCUUGGCAUAGUUGGCCUAAUUGUGUAUGUUUUGAUUGCAUGUUGUCGGAUAUUGUGGCUUGUGCAAAAUUAGAACAGAUGGAAGAAUAUUUUUAAGUAGUUGAUGUUUGGAUUAGAUGAGAAUCUUGUACUUCUUGAUAUUUAGAUAUUGGUUGGCUAGAUAUGUAAACAAUUGAUAUUAUGCAGUAAUUGGAUUUGGUAGUUCUUGGUU